rnacentral:rRNA from 1 species
AUGCACGCUGGCGGCGUGCCUAAUACAUGCAAGUCGAGCGAACAGACGAGGAGCUUGCUCCUCUGACGUUAGCGGCGGACGGGUGAGUAACACGUGGAUAACCUACCUAUAAGACUGGGAUAACUUCGGGAAACCGGAGCUAAUACCGGAUAAUAUAUUGAACCGCAUGGUUCAAUAGUGAAAGACGGUUUUGCUGUCACUUAUAGAUGGAUCCGCGCCGCAUUAGCUAGUUGGUAAGGUAACGGCUUACCAAGGCAACGAUGCGUAGCCGACCUGAGAGGGUGAUCGGCCACACUGGAACUGAGACACGGUCCAGACUCCUACGGGAGGCAGCAGUAGGGAAUCUUCCGCAAUGGGCGAAAGCCUGACGGAGCAACGCCGCGUGAGUGAUGAAGGUCUUCGGAUCGUAAAACUCUGUUAUUAGGGAAGAACAAAUGUGUAAGUAACUAUGCACGCCUUGACGGUACCUAAUCAGAAAGCCACGGCUAACUACGUG